UGAGAAGAGAGUUAUUAGUCUUGAAAAACUAAACUACUUGGCGGCUUAUCAACUAAAUAGAGAAACAUGUCUAUUAAUGGAUAAUACACAUAAAUCUUACCUAAUAUUGUAUAUCAUUUGGUACACCGCCGUCGGAAGAAUAAUUUUAUAGAAUUGUUCUAGUUUCUUUACAUAAAGAGUUAAGUCAGGCCAAGGCAUCGACUAUUAUUAGGUUAAGGUGUGUUUCAUUACUA
rnacentral:rRNA from 1 species